GAUGAACGCUGGCGGCGUGCCUAAUACAUGCAAGUCGAGCGAACAGACGAGGAGCUUGCUCCUCUGACGUUAGCGGCGGACGGGUGAGUAACACGUGGAUAACCUACCUAUAAGACUGGGAUAAAUUCGGGAAACCGGAGCUAAUACCGGAUAAUAUAUUGAACCGCAUGGUUCAAUAGUGAAAGACGGUUUUGCUGUCACUUAUAGAUGGAUCCGCGCCGCAUUAGCUAGUUGGUAAGGUAACGGCUUACCAAGGCAACGAUGCGUAGCCGACCUGAGAGGGAGAUCGCCCACACUGGCACUGAGACACGGUCCAGACUCCUACAGGAAGCAGCAGUAGGGAAUCUUCCGCAAUGGGCGAAAGCCUGACGGAGCAACGCCGCGUGAGUGAUGAAGGUCUUCGGAUCGUAAAACUCUGUUAUUAGGGAAGAACAAAUGUGUAAGUAACUAUGCACGUCUUGACGGUACCUAAUCAGAAAGCCACGGCUAACUACGUG
rnacentral:rRNA from 1 species